CUACUAGACGACGACCGGCGCACGGGUGAGUAACGCGUAUGUAAUCUGCCUUGUACAGAGGGAUAGCCCAGAGAAAUUUGGAUUAAUACCUCAUAGUAUUACUGAAUCGCAUGAUUCGGUAAUUAAAGCUCCGGCGGUACAAGAUGAACAUGCGUGACAUUAGCUAGUUGGUAAGGUAACGGCUUACCAAGGCCACGAUGUCUAGGGGUUCUGAGAGGAUGAUCCCCCACACUGGUACUGAGACACGGACCAGACUCCUACGGGAGGCAGCAGUGAGGAAUAUUGGUCAAUGGACGCAAGUCUGAAACACCCAUCCCCCGUGAAGGAUG
rnacentral:rRNA from 1 species